ACUUUUAUAGUUUAAAUAAAACAUUACAUUUUCAAUGUAAAAAUAAUUUUUUUAUUUAAAAGUA
rnacentral:tRNA from 1 species